AAGGAAUGGACAUAACUGUCUGCAGUUCCCAAACAAUUAUUUAUAGACCUACAGUCACUCAAUAAAAUUCAAUAUAAAUCAGUAAUGCAACUACACAGAAAGAAAAUGGGGAGAAAGAGUCAAGAUGUAGCUCUGCGGUGCUGGGCAUUGCUGUUACCUGCGGUGCAGGUGGUGGCCCUGAGGCCACAUCAGGGAGCGGGAAGGCUGCUGGGGUCUUCAGGGGCUUCCAACUACGCGCCCAAAACCAGGCACAACAGGUUCAGUGAACAGAUCGUAGGAAAACACAACAGGCUAAAGGAAAUCUCUGGGACCAUAAUAACAGCAAUAACUUCCCUAAUAGCAACAAUUUCCUUAAUAGUACGGAAGUUAGAAUCCACAGCAAAAAAAAGGAAGCGGUAACACAAUCAAGCUUCACAUGUGCACAUCUAGCGAGUGAUGUGGGGGACAGGUGAGAAAGAUGGGUUUUUCAAAUAGUAAGUGAAGGAUUUUGUGAAAAAACAUGCGUAAGUGCAACAUGAGGACACUCAAGUGUGUUUUAGUAAUUGCCAAGAUACAGUGAUGGGAUAUCACAGGAUCCCUACCUGUUUGCUUGUUUUGACAUGUUAUCUUCUGAAAUUGAAAGCAACAAUUUUUCAUGGAAAUAGGAUUUUUAGUGCUAUCUGAAAACCAUUUUGAUAGAUGAAUUUUAACAAGUUGUCAGUAAAAGCUUUUGGCUUCUACAAGUUAAACCCUGAGCUUGCUGAAACCAGCAUUCAUUUCACGUUGUUUGAUGCCUGUCUUCUCACAGGAUAAUCUACAUGCAAAAGACUUUCUUGCGAAUUUGGCUAAACAGCGCCUGUGUGUGAAAUGCAGGUUUUAUUAUCAGUGUUGGUUUACAAUCACACUCAUUAACCACAUCAGAAGGAAAAGGUUUAUAAAAAUUUUUGUUUGAAGAAAGUGAAAUAAAAACCAACAUGUUUUGUUUGUAAUUCUCCUAUACCGUUCUGAUCGACGAUCAAAGUGAAAACUACUUUGUUUAGUUUAGAGGAAUAUGACAGCAUGUCCUUUAUGUAGGGUAAAUGAUAUCUUCCUUUAGAUUUUCUUUAGGGAUUUAAUGAAGAAUAGCUUGACCCUUCUGCAUUUUUCCUGUAUUCACGUAAGAUCUGGGUGCAUGGAUCAAGACACCAAUAAACUAUUCUCAGAGCAAGGAGGAUUUCUUCCAGCUCAGGAGGAACCUGUUUGGGAAUCAGUUUUUGGGUACAUCAUGAGAUGGACAGCUUCCAUGGAAAGACUGCCAGCCUUCAGUGCAGCUCCUUGGAUAAAGAAGACUUUGGGAGCAAAAAAGACAGUGCAAGUACUGAAAGGUCAAGUAUGGAAUAAAUUAAUUCUGUAAUUGAUGACAAGUGACUUCCAGCUCUGGCAAAUUAUGUACUUAUUACAAAUUAUUUAUAUUUGUUUGUUUUCUGAAGUAAGUGCUUGUGGUUUUAUCCUCAGAUGAAGAGAACCAAAGAAUUUAAGAUUUUGCCACUAAGCUAAAGAACGUGGGUGUUUCUGACCCACCGGCUGCUGCCUUAUGUUAUAGUGAGUUUUUGCAGUGUCGUAAAUAUUUUGCAUAGGGAGUAUUUAUGUUUAUUUAUGUCUAAGCUCAGUGUUUGUUUUUAACGCAAUCUAGAAUGAGCUCUUAUAGUAAACACUGAUGUUAUUUAGAGAAAGUGUAAACGAACCAGUACUUCCAUUUAAAUACUCACAGCUCCAGCAACUUCAAAGCACUCACUAAAGCACAGCCGAAGCCAGAAUUUAAUUUCAUAAUAUACAGAUCAGUAUCGACACACUUUUUUUUCUAUUUGUUCAUGAUUGUUUUCUCGGAGCUGGGAGAACGAGGGAAAUAUUUUAAGUUCUGAGCUGGUUACUGCGCUGCUCUUGGUCCGCAUGAGCCGGAGCCCGGCCCAAGGCAUGAGACACCCGUGCCUGCGCUCUGCAGCCUCCUGUGAUACUGAACACAGCACCAGACACCUCAAGAAUGGCUUGAUGUGUUGGGAGAGGCUUUCUUGGCCCUUCAGAUCUAAAUAAUCAACUGGAUUCCAGAAGCAAAAGCGUACAGAAAGAAGAGCUGAAAGAAGCAAUCCAGCAUCAUUACUUAUUGGGAAUAAAAUACUCUCCUUUAAGAAGAGAGAGAAGGAGAAGAAAGCAGGAGGAAAAUAUCAGGAGCUAAUUUGUGGACACUCCCCUAAAAGGUCAUGGGAGGCAAUGGAAGGAAUGAAACUGGUGAUGGAAAUCAGCAACACAGACAAACAUCCCCAAAAAUGCAACCUUCAGAAAAGCAGCAGGCAAUCAGGCAGGGGUGCUGUGAAAAUCCACAAACCUCAUGUCGGCACUAACCCGCGGCAACCACCAGCUUCGCUCCCCAUCACGCCCAUGCAACACCCCUGCCUCCAAGGAACUGCGUUCAUGAUCAGAAACUUCAACGUAACGCCAAGUGCCCACCUGAAAAAGAAAAGCCCGACACCCAGGGCUUUCCAUGGCUUCAGGCUGUGAUGCAGUGACCUGCUGCUGUCAUCCCCGUGCGAGGUCCCAUGCUUUGGUGAGAGCCUGAGAAGACCAAAUUUAUUUAGACUGAGCUAGAUGAUGCUGACAAAAUAACUAUCCGGUGUAAAAAAUAGAGGGAUCUGAAAACUGAACAUAUACAAAUCUAAAAAUGAUCUAAAACUGUUGCCACUAAUUGCUAAAAUUACUCUUUGUUAUCAGUUUUGGAAAUAGUUCUUAUAAUUGCUGCGUUAGCAAAGAAAGGGACCAAAGACAUUUAAAACUGCAAUGCUGCUGCCUUUCAUAAGGCGAAACGAAGCGUGCUUUUAGGCUGCAUGUUACAAAUAUGCACAUGUGCUAAUUUUUGAUAUAAACACAGUGGCAUGUUGGACUUAAGCUGGCCUUUAUUUAAAAAUACUCUGUGGAAUAACUUCUGCUCUUGAUUUUAUCUGUUGCACAAGUAGACUCAAAGCAUCUGCAUUUCCUCCCCACCACUGGAAUUGUGAUAAGACCCAGAAUUUCAACUACCCUGGCUUUUCUAUUUCAAUACGGGUAACUUUAAAUUGAGGUAUUACACUAAGAGCAGAAACCAUUUCUCCCUCUGCCUUAUUUUGGUUGUUCUGGGACACAUUCUGCCCUGUAACUGAUAGAGUUUAAAAAUAAAUCUAGUUUGGCCUUUCAAACGUAAAAAUAUUUUCUUGAGAAGAAUGUGCGGGUUUCUUUUACAGUGAAGGUAAAUAUUAGUGCCCUUUAUGAAACAAAUAGGUUCAAAUUCAUAGAGGGGCAAAUAUUUUUCCUCGCGUUAACUCUAUAUUCCAAUUUUCUAGCCAGGCCUGUAUCAGCAUUAAAGCUUUUCUUUCCACCUCUUACACCAGGCAAAGGCCCACCUUCCCCAACCUCUAGUGCCAGUUUUGAGCUAAAGUUUCUUCAUAUGACUUAGCUGCAUGGUCCUCAUUUAAGCCUUCAGGCACCAUGCGGAUAAAAACAUUUGGAAGAGCCCCCUGAGACCCUGAGCAUCCAUCCCCUCGGUGUGGCAGGUCAGAGCAUCGCUG